AUUGAACGCUGGCGGUAGGCCUAACACAUGCAAGUCGAACGAGUGGCGGACGGGUGAGUAAUGUCUGGGAAACUGCCUGAUGGAGGGGGAUAACUACUGGAAACGGUAGCUAAUACCGCAUACCAUCGGAUGUGCCCAGAUGGGAUUAGCUAGUAGGUGGGGUAAAGGCUCACCUAGGCGACGAUCCCUAGCUGGUCUGAGAGGAUGACCAUCCAUCCUGGAACUGAGACCCGGUCCAGACUCAUACGGGAGGCAGCAGUGGGGAAUAGUGCACAAGGGGCGCAAUCCGGAUGCAGCCAUGCCGCGUGUAUUAAGAAGGCCUUCGGGUUGUAAAGUACUUUCAGCGGGGAGGCGUUACCCGCAGAAGAAGCACCGGCUAACUCCGUGCCAGCAGCCGCGGUAAUAC
rnacentral:rRNA from 1 species